CAGUCGCCGCGGUAAUACGAAGGGUGCAAGCGUUAAUCGGAAUUACUGGGCGUAAAGCGUGCGUAGGCGGUUUGUUAAGUCUGUUGUGAAAUCCCCGGGCUCAACCUGGGAAUGGCAAUGGAUACUGGCAAGCUAGAGUGUGUCAGAGGAUGGUGGAAUUCCCGGUGUAGCGGUGAAAUGCGUAGAGAUCGGGAGGAACAUCAGUGGCGAAGGCGGCCAUCUGGGACAACACUGACGCUGAAGCACGAAAGCGUGGGGAGCAAACAGGAUUAGAGACCCCUGUAGUCCCUGUCUCUUAUAA
rnacentral:rRNA from 1 species